rnacentral:misc_RNA from 1 species
GGGAUAUCAAACAACAAUAUCCGCGUUGCAAGGGCCAGGGAAUAAUUAGAAAUGUGCUUACAUUUUACGUCGAUAGUAUGGAUGUAAAAGAAAUGGGAGAACGUGUAUUUGCUGCAGAACGUUUGCUCAAGAAAAGGAUUCGAAAGGUAGGCGAAUAGUGCCAAAAUUUCCUCUUGCAUGCCCUUGCUAUUGUUGUGCAUUUGCCGAUGAUCUGCGCCCCGACCGUAUCGAAUAUUUUUGUUCAUUGUAGGCGCGUGUUGAAUAUUUUGUAAAGUGGAAGGGGUGGUCACACAAGUAAGUCGACUGUUUGGUAAUCCCGUGCUGUAUAUUUUCCCAGUGUAUUUCAGCUGACAUUAUGUCAUCUGCGUGAAAUCUGUACAUUUCAGGUUCAAUACAUGGGAACCAGAGGAAAACAUUCUCGAUCAUCGCCUCACCGAGGCGUUCAAUUCUGGGUAGGUGGCGAAACCCUCACAAUCUACGCCACUCUGUAAAUUAAACAGAAACAUUAUGUAUAGUUUGGAUUUAUAGAAACCUUCAAUCAUUUAAUAGUUCUAGAAAGUUGAUGUGCAAUUUCUUUUAAAUUUUUUAGAAAGGUAUCGGAUGACAGUAUUUAGAUCUAUAAAUAUGAGAAUACUUAUUUAUUCCUUGUUUGUGUAAUUUAGGCUAGAUAAGGAAACUCUGCCUAAAAAACGGGGACCAAAACCGAAGAAGCGGAAACCAGAGGAAACCCAAAAAGACUCUUCAGAGAUGGACACAACGACAGAUGAGGAGGAAGACGACGAGACGACCAGUACGGAAAAUUCCGACUCCGAGACGGAGGACGAACUGUUUCAUUCCCAGAAAGACGAACAUUCCAAGAGUAUUCUCUCAAAAGACUCGAGUGGUGAGGAUAAGUCCAGAUCGAGAGGUGGAGAACGCUCCGACAAAAAUCACGACAUGGAUGACGAUGAAUCGAACAAUAUUUUUGACACCCCCGGAUUGAAACGAUCCGACUCGCCGUCACCCCCCGUGUUGACCCCCAUUCGACGAUCGUACCGACGAAGACCAAGUGGGAGAGGCCCGGGUCGGCCGCCCCUCAACCGGCCCUCUGUAUCAUCAAAUGAUGGCAGUGGUCCCCCGUCUCUUCGCGUGGUGAUCAGAGGUAGGGGUCGAGGAAGAGGACGUGGCAGGGGGCAUGCAGAGCCUCGACUUCGGGGUCGUGGGAGAGGAAGAGGUACUGGAAAAGUAGGCCGUCCCCGGGGAAGUGGAAAGGUGGGCCGCCCCAGGGGUCGCGCAUCAAUACACUCAUUUCGGCGCAGGCCCCGACUAAACAUUUUGACCGGGCUUCCAGACGAUCGUUUCCUUCAGGACAGACUGAAGAAGAUCAAACUGAAAGCGCUCGGAAUGAGCGCCAAACAAAGUGUGGCCACCAAAAAUAAACAGAAAGACAAAAAGAAAACACUGAUGGGAGUGAAUGUGGUUGAAAAUCACAAAAGAGAUAAUAUAAAAAUGUGUGUGCCAAAGAUGGAAGACGACAAGGAAUACUGGUGUCCGUCUCCCGCGGUUACCAAGAACUUAGAUCACGUGAUGAUCACUGACGUGGCUGCAGACGACAGCAUGAUAACCAUCAGAGAAUCAACUUCGGAGGUUGGAUUUUUCAAAAAUCGGGAGGAAAAUACAGAGAUGCCGGGAACAUAACUGAUUUUAAGCAUUAUGUGCUUUUUACUUUUUAAUUAAGUCCAACGCGAAGUUGGAUGCAAAAAUCUGGCAUAGAGUAUUAAUAAGAGGUGCUAUAUUUUUAAAGUAAUGGACAUGCGUUUAAAAUCGAUUCCGGAUGUAGAAAUUUGGACGAACUGUAUUGUAUACUUACCAUGCAUCCAAUUUGUAAAUCUUUGUUGAACAAUAAAUUGUUAAUUGUUUUUAUUC